CGGCUUCUCCGGCCCCGCGCGUGUGGCCUACGGGGAGUGGUAGUCCAGUUCUCCGCUUGGGGCGCGGCAGAGAGCGGCCGCGAACUACCAAUCCCGUGAUGCAACGCGUCCAGAGCGCCGCCGCCGGCCCCUCUCCCUCCCUUUUCAGCUUCUGGCUCUUUCUGCGGGAGACCACGGGGCGGCGUUUAGACGUGAGCGCCCCGGAAGACUACAAUUCCCUUAAAGCUUUGCAGCCUAGCCUCCCCGCCCUUCCGGAAAGGUGCAAACUCACUUAACAAAGCCGUAGAGCCGAAGGCACGCUGUUGGGUCAGUUCAGCAAGCGGUAAUAUUGAGACAAUUAGCAGGAGUUGAAAAGGGAGGGCGAAGAGGGGACCGGCGGCAGCGCUCUGGGCAUGUUGCACCACGGGACUGAAAGAUAACAGUAUUGUAUCAACAUUAAAUUUAUUGAUUUUUAUUACUGUA